GGGGCGGUAGCUCAGCUGGUAGAGCGCAUCGUUCGCAAUGAUGAGGUCAGGAGUUCGAAUCUCCUUCGCUCCA
rnacentral:tRNA from 1 species